ensembl:lncRNA
GCCAAAUAUAGUAUUCUUUGGAGAAAAGUUGUUUCAAGUUUUGGUGUCUCUGCCCUACUAUUGCCCAGGGCUUGUGUUCACCUUUGUCCUUCCUUUGUUCUCAUCACCUGAGUCAGAUGAUGGACAAGACAGCUCAUGACCACGAAUCAGCCAGAGAAAGAGCUGAAGGGCCCAGCAUGAAGUCUUUGUUCCCAAGAGGUGGUGUGGUACCUGGGGACCAUUAUGACAACAUACACCACCUAGGGGGCCCUCUAUGGAUGACAGCUCCUCCUGUGAGUCACCCUUCUCCCUUCGCAGCGUGGGUCUCGACACCCUGUGCCUCUUUGCUCCCGUUUUUCUCCUGUUAUCAGAAUCUUGUCUAGAUGCUUGAGCCCCAAACACACUUCUCUACAGCCCUGGCCCUUCUGCCCAUCCUAGCGAUGCAGGAAAGAAGGCAGAAAAGAAACAAGAGAAGCCAAAGCCAUUGGCUUUCAUGUAUUUCUUCUUCUCUUUAGAGUUCAUAAAUCUGCAGUUUAUCUAAAGUUUUCCAGUGUUUUCAAAUUUGGCACCCCAGCAGCAACAGCCCAUGAACACCAGCUCUGCAGACUCAUGUACACACUUGAUAAGAUUCGCCCUGGAGCUAUGCUGCCAGUAGUCACCCGAGCUGAUGCGUGGAGCCCAGAAGAUCCGUUCUCUAAAAAUGAAGAGGAAGCCCACUAUUUUCCACAAGGGCCCAGCACUGCAGACAGUCUAAACAUGAACAGAGAAGCGUGCUUCCAGAAAUUGGAACAAAGUCCUGGGAAAGCAGAAGGAACUGGCUUAGACACGGAUUUUGAUUCUAGAAUGGACGUUGGUGAGGAACAACACAGGAGGGAGCAAACUACUGGGCUUGAGUCUAAGAUCCAUGAAGGGGUGAGCAAGAGAUGUCCUGUAUUCAUGCACCACCCACCAUGGACCAGCAUGGAGCAUAUGUCUCAAAGACCCUAAGGUAAAGCAGGUUUCCACGGUAGGAUGUGAAACAGGCUAAGCUAUAGAAAACUGCCAUAAGUCAACUCAGCAUGUGGCCAUUCAUCCUUCUGUGUUGAAGCACAGAUCAAUCUUAGCAUAAAUAACAGUUGGGACCUUGAAGAGAACUGUCAAUAGUUCUUAACAGUUAAUAGUACUGAACUCCUGCCAGAGAUGGGGAAAAAAAAAAAAAAGUCUGCCAUUCAGAAAUACAUGGUGAAUUCAAAACAUAGCCUCUUGCUGAGACAACUAGUAACAGUAAUGAGCCAUGGAAGUUUCUGGAAAAGGCCCAUCAAAACAGCUGACAAAGGGGGAUGGAGCUUAACGAAUGAAUUACUAGUUAUUACUACCAAUUUUCUAGGCUUUCCCCAAGGUUAUCAUCUCCAGCUGCACCUUGCAGCUUCCACAUAAUGAAAUUUGGGGGAGGAUGGAGACUCCAUACAGUGAGAAGUUUUUCUAAGAAGGUUCUUCUAGAACAUCUCUCACUGGCUCUGUGCAGAGGGGACUUUCCUCAUCAGAGCCAACCUUCUAGGAAACCACGUAUCCAGCAGUCUAUACAGUGAUUUUUAA